rnacentral:rRNA from 1 species
GACGAACGCUGGCGGCGUGCUUAACACAUGCAAGUCGAACGGCAAGGCCCUGCUUUUUUGGGGUGCUCGAGUGGCGAUCGGGUGAGUAACACGUGAGUAACCUGCCCUUCACUUUGGUAUAACUUCAGGAAACUGGGGCUACUACCGUAUAGGAUCUCCUGCUGCAUUGUGGGGGUUGGAACUUGUCGGCGGUUGGGGAUGUAGUCGCGGCUUAGGAGCUUGUUGGUGGGGUAGUGGCUUACCAAGGAGUUGACGGGUAGCCGGCCUGGGAGGGUGACAGGGUACAGUGGGACUGGGGUAGGGCCAAGAGGCAUAAGGGAGGAAGGAGUGGGGAAUAGUGCAAAAUGGGCGGAAGCGGGAUGGAGGAACGCCGGGUGGGGGAUGACGGCUUUCGGGUUGUAAAACGCUUUCGCUUGUGACGAAGCGUGAGGGAGGGUAAUGGGUAAAGAAGAACCGGCUAAUUACGU